rnacentral:rRNA from 1 species
GACGAACGCUGGCGGCGUGCUUAACACAUGCAAGUCGAACGGAAAGGCCCUGCUUUUGUGGGGUGCUCGAGUGGCGAACGGGUGAGUAACACGUGAGUAACCUGCCCUUGACUUUGGGAUAACUUCAGGAAACUGGGGCUAAUACCGGAUAGGAGCACCUGCUGCAUGGUGGGGGUUGGAAAGUUUCGGCGGUUGGGGAUGGACUCGCGGCUUAUCAGCUUGUUGGUGGGGUAGUGGCUUACCAAGGCUUUGACGGGUAGCCGGCCUGAGAGGGUGACCGGCCACGUUGGGACGGAGAUACGGCCCAGACUCCUACGGGAGGCAGCAGUGGUGAAUAUUGCACAAUGGGCGGAAGCCUGAUGCAGCAACGCCGCGUGCGGGAUGACGGCCUUCGGGUUGUAAACCGCUUUCGCCUGUGACGAAGCGUGAGUGACGGUAAUGGGUAAAGAAGCACCGGCUAACUACGUG